AUGAAUGGAUGGUGGAGAAGAUUUGGGGCCGGGGGAGCGGCCGUGACCCUGCUGGAGUCCGGGGGGGACCUCCAGCCCCCCGGGGGGUCCCUGCGCCUCCUCUGCCGAGGGCAAGGAUUCGACAUCGGGAAAUUCGGGAUGUUCUGGAUCCGCCAGAGACCCGGGAAGGCGCUGGAAUUCGUGGCCAGCGUCAACAGGAGGAACGGCGAGACGUUCUACGCGCCGUCCGUGCGUGGCCGGUUCACGAUGGGCAGCGACAACGGGCAGAGCUCGGUGACGCUGAGCAUGAACAACCUCCAGGACGAGGAUUCCGGGGUUUAUUUCUGCGCCAGGCGCUUGGAUGAUUACGCCGAUGCCAAUUCCCAAAUCCUGCCCCGAUCCGUGUCCAAAACCCUCGCCCGCGGCGAGAGACUUCUCCAGGGUGGAGCUGUUCAGGUCUGA